rnacentral:rRNA from 1 species
UAGCUCACUAGUCGAGAGGUCCUGCGCCGAAAAUGUCCGGGGCUGAAACACACUACCGAAGCUUAGGAAUUGACGAAUGUCAAUUGGUAGAGGAGCAUUCUUAACGGGGCGAAGCUGUACCGGAAGGAGCAGUGGACUGUUAAGAAGAGAGAAUGCCGGAAUGAGUAGCGAGAGGAAGGUGAGAAUCCUUCCGGCCGAAUAUCUAAGGUUUCCAGAGUAAAGCUGAUCUGCUCUGGGUAAGUCGGGGCCUAAGGCGAGGUCGAAAGACGUAGUCGAUGGAUAACAGGUAAAGAUUCCUGUACUAUAUCAUAACAGAACUGUGGGGACGCAGACAGAGAGCAUAAGCCGGGAAUGGAAAAACCGGUACAAGCGAGGUAGGAGUGCAUCAGGCAAAUCCGGUGCACAAUCUGAAGACGUGAUGUGGGGCGUAAAGCCGGAAGUAUGUGAGCUGGCUGCCAAGAAAAGCCGCUAUUGUUUAUGAUAUACCCGUACCGUAAACCGACACAGGUGGAUGAGGAGAGAAUCCUAAGGCCGACGGGAGAAGCAUUGUUAAGGAACUCGGCAAAAUGACUCCGUAACUUCGGGAGAAGGAGUGCCAUGUAAAAGUGGCCGCAGAGAAUUGGCCCAAGCAACUGUUUAGCAAAAACACAGGUCUAUGCAAAACCGAAAGGUGAGGUAUAUGGGCUGACGCCUGCCCGGUGCUGGAAGGUUAAGGGGAGAGGUUAGCCGUAAGGCGAAGCUUUGAACUUAAGCCCCAGUAAACGGCGGCCGUAACUAUAACGGUCCUAAGGUAGCGAAAUUCCUUGUCAGGUAAGUUCUGACCCGCACGAAUGGCGUAAUGACUUGGGCACUGUCUCAACUGCAAAUCCGGCGAAGUUGUAGUGCGAGUGAAGAUGCUCGCUACCCGCGAUUGGACGGAAAGACCCCGUAGAGCUUUACUGUAGCUUAGCAUUGAAUUCCGGUAUUGUCUGUACAGGAUAGGUGGGAGACUGGGAAACUAGGGCGUCAGCCUUGGUGGAGUCGUCCUUGGGAUACCACCCUGACAGUACUGGGGUUCUAACAGGACGCCAUGAAUCUGGUGACUGGACAUUGUUAGGUGGGCAGUUUGACUGGGGCGGUCGCCUCCUAAAAAGUAACGGAGGCGCCCAAAGGUUCCCUCAGAACGGUCGGAAAUCGUUCGUAGAGUGCAAAGGCAGAAGGGAGCCUGACUGCGAGACCUACAAGUCGAGCAGGGACGAAAGUCGGGCUUAGUGAUCCGGUGGUACCUCGUGGGAGGGCCAUCGCUCAACGGAUAAAAGCUACCUCGGGGAUAACAGGCUGAUCUCCCCCAAGAGUUCACAUCGACGGGGAGGUUUGGCACCUCGAUGUCGGCUCAUCGCAUCCUGGAGCUGAAGUCGGUUCCAAGGGUUGGGCUGUUCGCCCAUUAAAGCGGUACGCGAGCUGGGUUCAGAACGUCGUGAGACAGUUCGGUCCCUAUCUGUCGUGGGCGUAGGAAGUUUGAGAAGAUCUGUCCUCAGUACGAGAGGACCGGGAUGGACAUAUCAAUGGUGCACCAGUUGUCACGCCAGUGGCACAGCUGGGUAGCUAAAUAUGGAAGGGAUAAACGCUGAAGGCAUCUAAGUGUGAAACCCACUUCAAGAUGAGACUUCCCAAAACGCAAGUGAGUAAGACCCCUUAAAGACGAUAAGGUUGA